rnacentral:misc_RNA from 1 species
GAUGAAGAACGCAGCGAAAUGCGAUAAGUAAUGUGAAUUGCAGAAUUCAGUGAAUCAUCGAAUCUUUGAACGCACAUUGCGCCCGCCAGUAUCCUGGCGGGCAUGCCUGUUCGAGCGUCAUUUCAACCAUCAAGCCCCAGGCUUGUGUUGGAGCCCUGCGGCUGCCGCAGCCUCCCAAAACCAGUGGCGGGCUCGCUAUCACACCGAGUGCAGUAGUUUACUCUUCGCUCAGGGCGUGUGGCGGGUGCUAGCCGUAAAACCCCCAACUUCUCAAGGUUGACCUCGGAUCAGGUAGGAAUACCCGCUGAACUUAAGCAUAUCAAUAAGCGGAGGA